rnacentral:sRNA from 1 species
AAUCUUGGGACUUUUUGGACACCCAGAGAACAGGUCCCAGAUACCGAGUCCGCAACUCCAAACAUCGCGAUUAAUAGGAGGCCUCUGGUCCCUGCCUGCCCUGGGUGCUCAUGGAACCAGCUGCUGCUCUGCACUUCUCCCUGCCAGCCUCCCUCCUCCUCCUCCUGCUCCUCCUCCUUCUCAGCCUGUGUGCACUGGCCUCAGGCCUUGGGUCUAAGCCCCUCAUUGAAAUCAAGGCCCAAGAGGAUGGGAGCAUCUGGCUGGAGUGCAUAUCUGGAGGGUGGUACCCAGAGCCCCUCACAGUGUGGAGGGACCCCUACGGUGAGGUUGUGCCCACCCUGAAGGAGGUUUCCAUCGCUGAUGCUGACGGCCUCUUCAUGGUCACCACAGCUGUGAUCAUCAGAGACAAGUAUGUGAGGAAUGUGUCCUGCUCUGUCAACAACACCCUGCUCGGCCAGGAGAAGGAAACUGUCAUUUUUAUUCCAGAAUCCUUUAUGCCCAGCGCAUCUCCCUGGAUGGUGGCCCUAGCUGUCAUCCUGACCGCAUCUCCCUGGAUGGUGUCCAUGACUGUCAUCCUGGCUGUUUUCAUCAUCUUCAUGGCUGUCAGCAUCUGUUGCAUCAAGAAACUUCAAAGGGAAAAAAAGAUUCUGUCAGGGGAAAAGAAAGUUGAACAAGAGGAAAAAGAAAUUGCACGUAAGGAAUUUGUAAAGAAAGUGUGGAAAAAUAGAAAGAAAUUCAAAAAGAAAAAUUAAAUGAGUAGGAGGACAAUUGACUGUCAUAGAAAGGCCACAGCUCUCACAGGUACCGGCUUAGGGAAGAGAGAGAGGAAAUGCACAGCAGCAGCCACAAGGGCUUGGAACUCUCAUGUCGUAAGAAGUAAUCAUUCAGAGCUUUCUUUCUUCCAUGCUGCACACAUUGCAUUCAUUCACCUGGCUAUAUGCAGCACUACAUGGCUGAACGAAAGUUCAGACAAAAGUCUAACAAUGUACUGAUACUACCCAGCCAUCUGAUCGUACAUCAUUGCUGGUUUCUGACUGUUCCCUAGGCAUAAAGGAAGGGUGAUGUUGGUGUUCAUAGAAAGGACGGUUCCUACGUUGUUUAAUACAAGCUCAAUUUCUCUUAGUUCUUCUGUUGAAGACAUGAUUUUGUUUCUGUAUUUUGUUUUCAGAGCAACUUCAAGAAGAAUUGCGUAAGUUUAGCCUUUCCUGAACUACUCCGUGUACAAUUUGUGUUCUGCUUACUUAGCAGUGUCUCAUGACCUUCACCUCUGUCUGUCCCUUGCAGGAUGGAGAAGAACAUUCUUACAUGCUGGUGAGUGCCUCUGAUGUUCUCUCAGAUCUCAGCUUUCUCCCCACUAGCCAGCUAACAGGACUCCUUAGAGGAGAUGAGC